GACGAACGCUGGCGGCGUGCUUAACACAUGCCAGUCGAACGGAAAGGCCCUGCUUUUGUGGGGUGCUCGAGUGGCGAACGGGUGAGUAACACGUGAGUAACCUGCCCUUGACUUUGGGAUAACUUCAGGAAACUGGGGCUAAUACCGGAUAGGAGCUCCUGCUGCAUGGUGGGGGUUGGAAAGUUUCGGCGGGUGGGGAUGGACUCGCGGCUUAUCAGCGUGUUGGUGGGGUGGUGGCUUACCAAGGCUUUGACGGGUAGCCGGCCUGAGAGGGUGACCGGCCACAUUGGGACUGAGAUACGGCCCAGAGUCCUACGGGAGGCAGCAGUGGGGAAUAUUGCACAAUGGGCGGAAGCCUGAUGCAGCAACGCCGCGUGCGGGAUGACGGCCUUCGGGUUGUAAACCGCUUUCGCCUGUGACGAAGCGUGAGUGACGGUAAUGGGUAAAGAAGCACCGGCUAACUACGUG
rnacentral:rRNA from 1 species